rnacentral:lncRNA from 1 species
CAGGCACCGAAGAUUUAAAAGACUUUCCCCAUAAAAUAGCAACAACAGUGAACAUAUAAGCAACAAAGCAGAACAUAUAUAAAAUAGAUUAAACAAACCAAAAAUCCCAUUUCACUUUGUUAUCAAAUAUUGUCUUUGAUCUAAUAUCAUAUUGUUUUUUGAUUAUACUAACAUGAAUACAGAAACAAGACAUUAUAUGAUCUUUUAAUAGUCUUUACAAAAUUGAUUUAAAAUGUUUAUUUGGUUAUUUCUCUAAUUUCAAGAAUACAUAAUUAAUUUCUUUAUAUGUUGAUGCAUGUGUUGGAUAAAUAUUCGUAACUAAUUAUUAAUUGGCAGCUAGCUUAGAGGAUUAUUACAUGGUUUUCUCUCAUCUUCCUCAUUCCGGACAGAAACAGUUUUCCCUAAUCUCUCUGAAGAUGCCACUGCCAACAACGAACACCAAGCACAAAAACAAAAAGAAUCAGAUAAUAAAUUAAGUUAAAAUUAAUUUUAGACAUAGACUAACAUAGAGGAACAUGAAUAAAAUAACCAUUCAAACUUUAAUUCAUUUGAAAUAGAGAGUAAGAUAAAAGAAAUGAACCUGCUAAACUGAAAUUCUUCUAAUUGACAAUGGAAAAUAAGCAAAUGUACACUUCUUCAGUCCCAGAAAUCCACCGACAAACAACAACAAAAAUCGAAUGGUGGAACCGGAACCAGGAAUUUCACCUCGAAUUCUCAAAACCUUCAACUUCUUUUUUGAUUUCUGUCCAAACACUUCUCAAAUUUUUUAAUUGUUCCCUUAUCUUGAAGAAUUUCAUGAACAAUGAGCUUUGUUAGGGUCGCUGGAUCUUGUUCUCUUUAUAUGUUAGGAAUUUUGGAAAAUACAGUGGGUAAUGGAAUUGGAAAAUAGAGAUUCAUUUACUAGAUUUUAACUUGGGGAAGAUAACUCAUUUUUGGGAAUGUUUCAAUUUUGAAACUUCAUUGGGUAGAGGUCUGUCUUGGUUUUUGAUGGAAAUGGAGGAGAAGCACUUUUACUCCAAAAUGCGCUAUUCCUUACGGGGUAAGAAUUAUG